UCACCUUACCUAGUGUUUCCCUCAAGGCUCUGUGUUUUAGCUCUAGUGGAGCCAAGCAGCACACAUUCCCUUUCCACUGAGCAAUGCAGUUCAUUCUCUGUGCUGAUACAUCAGUUGCCUGCUUCCCAGCAGGAGAUGAAGUCGGAGAGUCCAGACAGGCUCCCCAGAGCAGUCACCUACAGGUGUAUCUCUGUGCCAGAGCCACACACAGUCUCUAUCAUCAAUGUUUCUGGACCAUCAUCAGAGGCAACUUUUCUGCCUAAAUUCCUGCCAUAGUUAUUGGGUUCAGCUUUAAGAGAGCAGAAGAAACAUAAACUCCCAUGAACCCUUCUAAAACACAUUCUCUCCUGAUACCUAGGUAGCUCUGCACAGGUUGGGAAAAACCUACCUUAUCCCCUUAAUUGAGAACACUGCUUUUCUCUACUCUAACUAAAGUACUAGCCAGCUCAGCCUCCUGAAGCUAAUGCCUGUGUGAGUCUGUGGCUUUCUGCUCAGGCUUUCUACUUGCUGUCUUGGAUGCUGGGUCUUUGCUCUCCUUGUCUCCUACUUCAAACAACUGGUUCCAAGGACUUGUGCAAGGCUGAGGCUGUAGCUCAAUGAGAGGGUGCUUGCCUCACAUAGGAGAAGCCCUGGUUUCCAUGCUUGGCAUUGUACAAAGAAAAAAGAGUGGCGCAUAUUCCAAUAUUUGAGAAUGUUGCCUUUGGAAAAAGAAAGACACUUUUAACAUCAGAAAACCUAAUCCUUGCUAGUGCAGUAGUAAACUGGAGUUACUGGGAAGUAAAUCUUUGCAUUUCAUUAAGCCUUUACGAGAUGCUGGAAGUUGAGGAAUUGGCAUAAUACUCACAAAAGGCAGCUCUAGUGCUCUCUAAACCCCAGAAAGCCCCUCCCUGCCGUGCACAUGGCUGCCUAUGACACAAGGAGGUGGCUUUGCUUGGGAAAUGAUUAUGUGCGCAGGUUGCAGGCAAAUUUUGGACAAAUUGCUUUAGACAGACUCACGCAGGCAUUAGAAUGAGAGCUUGGAAUCUAGGUGCAAUCACGGGAGGCCAGCUUCCCACAGCCUCAGUGACAGCAGGUGGUGGUCACUUAGCAGACAAGAAGCAGAGACCUGAAGAUCACUGCUGGGAAGAUGAGCAGGACAGCAAGCCCUGGGCAUGGCCUCUAUGCCCUUCUGGGCAGAGACCAUGCCGUGGUAUAGACUGGAAACUCCAGGUGAGGAUGUGAGAAGGCAGUUGAUGGACUUCUUGUCUACUGCAUUUCACUUCUGAGCCCUCUGUGCACAUUAUCAAAACAUCCCAGAUGAGCAUUUGGGGAGCCACUGUCCAAGUGCCAGCUCGGCCUUGCUCCCCCUCUUCCUCUCUCACAAACAGUGGUUAUGACGCCAGGCUCCCCACCCCACCCCCAGACAUCACUUACUGAGUGCAAAAUUCCACUCUUCUGGGUGGGUUUUAAAGCCUUCUGUGCGAUGGGCCAGUCCUGGUUGAUACCUCUCUUUCUUUCCAAGUAAAUGGAUCCCCAUUCAUCUGUGAUUUCCUCAUAACAAUUCCCUGGAAACAGUAAAAUCUGUAUGACUACCUGUAAUAGUCUAUGAUGGCAGACAGGUGGACUUGGCUUUCUUUUCUGUCCCAGAGUGGCUUUGUAGAUUCUGAAGAGAACGGAAGAGCUUCUGGCAUUCCUGUUCAGCAGCAUCCAAACUGCAGCAGGUGUGGAUUCCAGAGAGGACACCAUAAUGCAGUCCUUGCUUGGAUCAAGGCUGAGAGUGAUUUGCUGAAGUGAGGACCUCUCUAGCUGGAUGUAAACUUGUCCUCAAAUAUGUUUUCCCAGUACCCUCGAGUAUGAGCUAACCUGCUUUAUAUGGCAGCUUGCUGGAGCUCACACUUCACCGGAUGUGUAGCAGGAAGCUGUAUGCUGUGCAUGUGAACAAAUGAAGUAUGAUAGAGAACACCUGAUUCUGCAUCCUUGGAAGAUCAAGAGGCAUGGGAAAAGAAAAAUUAGAUACUUAAUCUUAUGAAAUCUCCAGGUCUCCGUCACUGUCUUUACACCUACUUAGAUAGCAGUAAGUUGUCAACGGGAUAUAGCUGUGGAACUUCAGCAAACGGAAAAUAAUUUCAUAGAUCAGUGGAUUAAUUAGAGGCUGGUACUCAGCUAAACACUGCUCUGUUGGCCGUCAAUCUGCUUCAUUAAGAGCUGCUCCAAGGAAGAUUUCCUUAUAUUUUUGUGACUCCAGCUGUCACCAAUUGUCAAUGUCAAUUGAAGAAUAAUCAAUUAAGUAGCAAGAUUAAGGAGGACCCAGCAA